UACAGAUAGGACAGCAAAACUAGGAGUAUAGCAGGGACCCCGGACCCACUUACAAAAUGGUAAUGAAAGCAGUUCUGAGAUGAUGGAAACGUGUUAUCUUGUCCCUUGUGUUCUGCCACCGAUCAUUCCUGUGAGAAGUUGCCUUUGAAGAUUAAUUCAGCCUUGCUACAAGUAAGCCAGCUUCUGAAAUUGACAGUCACAACUCUAGAAUGCAUUAGUUACGAGGCUCCACCUUGCAUUUCCUUGUGUAAAAAUUCUACUGUAUUUCGAAAGCCAGUUAAUUGUAAAUUUUUGGUAAAAUACUUGUUGUAAUUGAGUUUUCUGGAUUGCAUACCAGCCAGAAAUGAUUCUACUUUAUUUUGUUAACUAUCACCUUUGCUGCAAGAUGCGUUGCACUUAUUGUUGCUGUAUUGUAUACCAGCCAGAAUCACUUCUUUAUUUGUUGGCUGAUUUAUUCUUCUUUAUUUGUUAACUGUAAACUUUGCUAAAAAUGUGUUGCACCUUAGGUUGCUGGGUCGUAUACCAGCCAGGAUCUACUCUACUUGUUUGAGCUGUGUGCAAUAAAAUAAUGAAAAAUGU